rnacentral:rRNA from 1 species
CAAGCCUAACACAUGCAAGUCGAACGGCAGCACAGAGGAGCUUGCUCCUUGGGUGGCGAGUGGCGGACGGGUGAGGAAUACAUCGGAAUCUACUUUUUCGUGGGGGAUAACGUAGGGAAACUUACGCUAAUACCGCAUACGACCUACGGGUGAAAGCAGGGGAUCUUCGGACCUUGCGCGAUUGAAUGAGCCGAUGUCGGAUUAGCUAGUUGGCGGGGUAAAGGCCCACCAAGGCGACGAUCCGUAGCUAGGUCUGAGAGGAUGAUCAGCCACACUGGAACUGAGACACGGUCCAGACUCCUACGGGAGGCAGCAGUGGGGAAUAUUGGACAAUGGGCGCAAGCCUGAUACCAGCCAUACCGCGUAGGGUGAAGAAGGCCUUCGGGUUGUAAAGCCCUUUAGUAUGGGAAACGAAAUCCAGCCGGACUAAUACCUGGUUAGGGAUGACGGUACCCAAAGAAUAAGGCACCGGCUAACUUCG